UGAAUUCCCCUUCUUACCCCGGUUUCCUUAGGUGAACCUGCGGAAGGAUCAUUAAAAAUGAAGCCGGGAAACCGGUCCUUCUAACCCUUGAUUAUCUUAAUUUGUUGCUUUGGUGGGCCGCGCAAGCACCGGCUUCGGCUGGAUCGUGCCCGCCAGAGGACACAACUCUGUAUCAAAUGUCGUCUGAGUACUAUAAAAUAGUUAAAACUUUCAACAACGGAUCUCUUGGUUCUG
rnacentral:misc_RNA from 1 species